GCGCAACCCUUGUCCUUAGUUACCAGCACGUUAUGUGGGCACUCUAAGGAGACUGCCGGUGACAACCGGAGGAAGUGGGGAUGACGUCAAGUCAUCAUGGCCCUUACGGCCUGGGCUACACACGUGCUACAAUGGUCGGUACAAAGGGUUGCCAAGCCGCGAGGUGGAGCUAAUCCCAUAAAACCGAUCGUAGUCCGGAUCGCAGUCUGCAACUCGACUGCGUGAAGUCGGAAUCGCUAGUAAUCGUGAAUCAGAAUGUCACGGUGAAUACGUUCCCGGGCCUU
rnacentral:rRNA from 1 species